UCUGAUUGAUAACAUUUGAGUGAGUGGCGGACGGGUGAGUAACACGUGGGUAACCUGCCCUAAAGUGGGGGAUAACAUUUGGAAACAGAUGCUAAUACCGCAUAAAACCUAGCACCGCAUGGUGCAAGGUUGAAAGAUGGUUUCGGCUAUCACUUUAGGAUGGACCCGCGGUGCAUUAGUUAGUUGGUGAGGUAAAGGCUCACCAAGACCGUGAUGCAUAGCCGACCUGAGAGGGUAAUCGGCCACACUGGGACUGAGACACGGCCCAGACUCCUACGGGAGGCAGCAGUAGGGAAUCUUCCACAAUGGACGAAAGUCUGAUGGAGCAACGCCGCGUGAGUGAAGAAGGUUUUCGGAUCGUAAAACUCUGUUGUUGGAGAAGAACGUAUUUGAUAGUAACUGAUCAGGUAGUGACGGUAUCCAACCAGAAAGCCACGGCUAACUACGUGCCAGCAGCCGCGGUAAUACGUAGGUGGCAAGCGUUGUCCGGAUUUAUUGGGCGUAAAGCGAGCGCAGGCGGUUUCUUAAGUCUGAUGUGAAAGCCUUCGGCUCAACCGAAGAAGUGCAUCGGAAACUGGGAAACUUGAGUGCAGAAGAGGACAGUGGAACUCCAUGUGUAGCGGUGAAAUGCGUAGAUAUAUGGAAGAACACCAGUGGCGAAGGCGGCUGUCUGGUCUGUAACUGACGCUGAGGCUCGAAAGCAUGGGUAGCAAACAGGAUUAGAUACCCUGGUAGUCCAUGCCGUAAACGAUGAGUGCUAGGUGUUGGAGGGUUUCCGCCCUUCAGUGCCGCAGCUAACGCAUUAAGCACUCCGCCUGGGGAGUACGACCGCAAGGUUGAAACUCAAAGGAAUUGACGGGGGCCCGCACAAGCGGUGGAGCAUGUGGUUUAAUUCGAAGCAACGCGAAGAACCUUACCAGGUCUUGACAUCCUUUGACCACUCUAGAGAUAGAGCUUUCCCUUCGGGGACAAAGUGACAGGUGGUGCAUGGUUGUCGUCAGCUCGUGUCGUGAGAUGUUGGGUUAAGUCCCGCAACGAGCGCAACCCUUAUUACUAGUUGCCAGCAUUUAGUUGGGCACUCUAGUGAGACUGCCGGUGACAAACCGGAGGAAGGUGGGGACGACGUCAAAUCAUCAUGCCCCUUAUGACCUGGGCUACACACGUGCUACAAUGGAUGGUACAACGAGUCGCGAGACCGCGAGGUUUAGCUAAUCUCUUAAAACCAUUCUCAGUUCGGAUUGUAGGCUGCAACUCGCCUACAUGAAGCCGGAAUCGCUAGUAAUCGCGGAUCAGCAUGCCGCGGUGAAUACGUUCCCGGGCCUUGUACACACCGCCCGUCACACCAUGAGAGUUUGUAA
rnacentral:rRNA from 2 species